GUGAACCUGCCCAUCACAAACAAGGGCUGCAGCAUGAAGAGGGCCAACCUCUGCCUUCCAGGUACCUGCACUACCUAUCAGAUGACAGCCUGGCUGCCAGUUAGCAUCCCUGCUGACUCCUGUGGCCUGCCCUUUCCAGAGACUAUGCUCCAGCAGCCUUUCGAAGAUGCCACCUUGGAGGACAACAUCUUCUUCCCAGAGGGACUUGAGCAGCCCAGUGGCCUCCACCAGGUGAAAGGGAAAUGAUGAAGAUGAGUUAUCCUGAAGGCCCCAACCUUCAUUGUGGUAGCUGGGCAUAAUCUGGGAAGGCUUCCUGCAAGUGGUAAGUGUCAGGGGCAGACUGCAAAAAGUGGAAAUAAAUAGAUGGAGAGAACCAUGGGAAGAACCGAAACUGUGAUUUCCCUCUCCUUCUUAGAACUGUAGGUGCAUCACCUCCUGAUAGACACUCAUUUGCUCAUUCUUUCAUUCAUUGAUGGAGCACCAUGUGCUGGGUAGGAAACAGGGUUCUACCUCAUGUUCACAGGCUCUUCAGGU